rnacentral:lncRNA from 1 species
UUUCUUCCUUUUCUUUUUCCCUUUUCUCUUUCUUUCCCCUUUUUCUUCUUUCUUUCCCUCUCUUCCUUUUCCCCUUCCUUCUUCCUUCCCUGGCCCCACACGCUCCUACCCAUGUGCGCCCCCGCCUAGCUUCGCACGCGCCUACCCGCCCACCACGCGCGCCCCGGGCUCGCCACGCUGCACAAGCGCUUCGCCACCGUGCCACGUCACCGCCCCUGCUACCGG